ACCUACCCUUGUGACAUGGGC
rnacentral:siRNA from 2 species